rnacentral:rRNA from 1 species
UGAGGUGGCACAUAAUCGGAGGCCCCGACUGUUUACUAAAAACACAACUGUCUGCUAUCACGAAAGUAUUAGAAUAGGCAGUGAAAUUUGCCCGAUGCCAUUAACCUAAAUAAGGAUCAUUGAUAAAGUGAUUACACGAAAGUCUGGUCUAUGGCGGUCUUAACUAUGAGGAUCCUAAGGUAGCAUAAUCAGUUGGCCAUUAAAUGUGGUCUGGCAUCAAUAAUGUAACGAUGGCCUCACUGUCUCAACUACUUACUCAGUGAAAUUGAAUUACGCGUGAAGAUGCGCGUUACUUACGAAGGGACGGGAAGACCCUAUGCAGCUUCUACUG